AUUGAACGAUGGCGGCAUGCUUAACACAUGCAAGUCGAACGCGAAAGUCCUUCGGGCGGAGUAGAGUGGCGGACGGGUGAGUAACGCGUGGGAAUCUACCCUAGAGCGGGGGACGAACCUGGGGAAACCCGGGCUAAUACCGCAUACGUCCUACGGGAGAAAGAGGGCCUCUGCUUGCACGCUCUCACUCCAGGAUGAGCCCACGUCCGAUUAGCUAGUUGGUAGGGUAAAGGCCUACCAAGGCCACGAUCGGUAGCUGGUCUGAGAGGAUGAUCAGCCACACUGGGACUGAGACACGGCCCAGACUCCUACGGGAGGCAGCAGUGGGGAAUAUCGGACAAUGGGCGCAAGCCUGAUCCAGCAAUGCCGCGUGUGUGAAGAAGGCCUGCGGGUUGUAAAGCACUUUCAGUGGGGAAGAACAGAUUCGGGUCAAUACCCCGGAGCCCUGACGUUACCCACAGAAGAAGCACCGGCUAACUCCGUGCCAGCAGCCG
rnacentral:rRNA from 1 species